rnacentral:rRNA from 1 species
CAGCCGCCGCGGUAAUACGAAGGGGGCUAGCGUUGUUCGGAAUUACUGGGCGUAAAGCGUACGUAGGCGGACUGUUAAGUGAGGGGUGAAAUCCCGAGGCUCAACCUCGGAACUGCCUUUCAUACUGGCAAUCUUGAGUCCGGGAGAGGUGAGUGGAACUCCUAGUGUAGAGGUGAAAUUCGUAGAUAUUAGGAAGAACACCAGUGGCGAAGGCGGCUCACUGGCCCGGAACUGACGCUAAGGUACGAAAGCGUGGGGAGCAAACAGGAUUAGAUACCCCAGUAGUCCCUGUCUCUUAUAC